AGGUGAACCUGCGGAAGGAUCAUUAACGAGUUAGGGUCCCUCGCGGCCCGACCUCCCAACCCUUUGUCUACCUGACCACUGUUGCUUCGGCGAGCCCGUCUGUAAUGGACCGCCGGGGGGUACCUUGAUCGGCCCUCUGGUCCGCGCUCGUCGAUAGCCAAACUUUUAAAAUCUUAACCAAACGUGUCUCAAUCUAAGUAUUAUUUGUUAAAUAAAAGCAAAACUUUCAACAACGGAUCUCUUGGUUCUGG
rnacentral:misc_RNA from 1 species